rnacentral:rRNA from 1 species
AACGAACGCUGGCGGCAGGCUUAACACAUGCAAGUAGAACGACCCGCAAGGGGAGUGGCAGCCGGGUGAGUAACACGUGGGAAUCUACCGUGCCCUGCGCAAUAGCUCCGGGAAACUGGAAUUAAUAUCGCAUACGCCCUACGGGGGCACGAUUUAUCGGGGUAUGAUGAGCCCGCGUUGGAUUAGCUAGAUGGUGGGGUAAAGGCCUACCAAGGCGACGAUCCAUAGCUGGUCUGAGAGGAUGAUCAGCCACAUUGGGACUGAGACACGGCCCAAACUCCUACUGGAGGCAGCAGUGGGUAGUAUUGAACAAUGGGCGCAAGCCUGAUCCAGCCAUGCCGCGUGAGUGAUGAAGGCCUGAGGGUUGUAAAGCUCUUUCACCGAUUAAGAUAAUGACGAUAGUCGGAGAAGAAGCCCCGGCUAACUUCGUGCCAGCCGCCGCAGUAA